rnacentral:tRNA from 1 species
UCCUAUAGUUAACCUAUAAUGCCGGUUUGCAAAACCGGAGUUGCGAUGUAUUUGUGCUAGGGUGU